rnacentral:lncRNA from 1 species
AUGGUGAUCUGUCCGGUAAACAACGGGGCGUAGUAAUUGAGGUAUAUGUAUUUUACGUAACAUGGUUCCUUAAAGUGGAUGGUGAAGUUGAAGGUGGGUGGCAAAAUGCCUACGAGGGUUUAUAGUGAAAGAUUCGACGGGAUCAUCAAAUUUCACCAAUAUUUCACCUAAAUUUGUCAGAAACAGCGCUGCUACUUCAGCUGCUAAAACUUCGUGUUCUUCGUUGAUAAAAAAUCUAUAACGAUGACGAACACAACACUGUGUUCUUGUAAAGCUCUGCAUUCUCUGUAAAUUUAUGUGAAAUUGAAAAAAUUUGGUGUGGUCGCUGGUGGUCUGUUCGCCGGAGAGAAGAAAAGGAGAUUGGGGGAAUACUUGGGGGUAAGGUCGAAGUAAAGUUUAUAAUAUAGGGUGUUGUGUUGAGGAAGCAAUCAAACACAAGUGGAAAAGACUAUAUCACCCUUUGACCGUUAAUAAGUGACGUUGACUUUAAACAAAUUUUAACACCGGGGGUAAUAUUGUAGCGUUUUUCAAUAGUUGAGGGGUAAGACAACAAGAUUUUCGUUUUAGGGGGUAAGGUUUCCAAUCGCAUCUAACCCCAAGGGAUAAAACUGCAGCUUACUCAAAUAUAUAUUUAUAUAAGCU